GAGCUGACAACCUGUCAAAAUCAUUGUGUAAAAACUUUCAAGUUACGUUACCUGUUGAGGGUGCUGCUAUGCUUUUUAUCAAUCAAAGAUAAAGAAAGGUGUAAGGAGGACAUGCAGUUAGAGCAGCCAGAUUUCCCAACCAUUUCCAUCUAUGUGGUUGUGAGUCCAACGCACGGUAUACUGUCACAUCCUCUGCCUCCGUCACCCAGUCCACCCACACAUCCUCUGCCUCCAACACCCUGGUCCACCCACACAUCCUCUGCUUCUGACGCCCCGGUCCACUCACAAAUCCACUGCCUCCGACGCCCCGGUACACCCACACAUCAUCUGCCUCCGACACCCAGUCCACCCACACAUCCUCUGCCUCUGACGCCCCGGUCCACCCACACAUCCUCUGCCUCCGACGCCCCGGUCCACCCACACAUCCUCUGCCUCCGACGCCCCGGUCAACCCUCACAUCCUCUGCCUCAGACGCCCCGGUCAACCCUCACAUCCUCUGCCUCCAGCACACAGUGCACCACAAGCCUAACCAUCAUAUGUAAGAUUGAUGAUUGAUGUGAUUAACCGGGGCUAUUAUGCCUCUGACGCCCCAGUCAACCCUCACAUCCUCUGCCUCCAACGCUCCGGUCAACCCACACAUCCUCUGCCUCCGACGCCCCGGUCAACCCUCACAUCCUCUGCCUCCGACGCCCCGGUCAACCCACACAUCCUCUGCGUCCGACGCCCCGGUCCACCCACACAUCCUCUGCCUCAGACGCCCCGGUCAACCCUCACAUCCUCUGCCUCCAGCACACAGUGCACUUCCCGUUCCCCAUGAACGCAACUCACUCCCCGGUUCCCAAUCACCUGAAUAUUGAUCACUUGUUCACCCACCUGGUCCCACCUAGUUUCCCUAUUUAGUUCAGUUUGAUGCUCCUGUUUCUUUGUGAGGUAUUGUUUGUUUUACAUGACAUAUUCAUCCCUCCUUGAGAGUUUUCUUUACUAUUCGUUUGCCUGUGUACCGACCAGCCUUCUAGCCUGUUAAUUCUUGACCUUGUUUUGAGCUGAUUUUAUGCCUUCGCCAUUGUGCUCUCCUGUGUAUCAAUCUUUACCUGUCUGACUCCUGCCCUUUAAAUGUAAAACUACGCUCUGUGUUGAGAACCACUCCACCAUCUGGGUCCUUGUCGUAUUCGUACAGUGGUUUUGAAGGAGCCAACUUAUCACAGCCAUCUGGUUCUUACCUGUUACCUGUUAUGCACAACACAUAUGCACCUGUAAACUGAGCGAUAGGUAAGGUCUGCA
ensembl:lncRNA